ACGGGAACGCCCACUCGGUGACGUAUAACGGUGAUGACAUAAUUAUGUUGUACAUCGCAUGCGCGAAGUCAAUAAGGCACAAGUAACUUCCGGCCGUAUGUCAACAUGGCAGAAGCGUACGACGUCCUGGAAUUUCAAGAACUUGACGGUGUGAUAGAUCUUUUCUUUGGUAAAGAUUUGUUUGAGACAUCUCAACCUGUCGUUCCAGUAGCAUCCAUUCAAACUAAUCCAGUUAAAUUUAAUGGGAAAGUUCAAGUAGUGGUUAUAUGAAAAAUGAUCUGAUGUUCACAUGAUCUCAAGGGUUUGCCGAACCUCAAUCGAGUUUAACCCCAACAAGGAAUAUUAUACAUCAAAACUGUUCAUCUGCCUGUGCAUUUUCUAGUAUAAGUUUAUCAUCAUUUGGAACAAAUGGUUAAAUUACUAUUCAAGAUAACUAAUUUAAAAAACAAGAACAAUAUGUGGUUGGAAUGAUCCAAGGCUCUGUUCAAAGAUAUUUUAUUCACAUGACAGUGAUGCUUGUUAAAUAAAACUUGUGAAUUUAACAGAUAAUGGCCAUUGAUAAACACUAAGGCAAAUAGAAAUGCACAAAAAAAUCCAUAAGCUUAUGAUAAUAAUGAUUAAACAUACAUUAUGCGAGAGCUAAAUCUGCCUAUUGCAGGUUUUCUUUAGGCCUGAAAUGUAUUCUAAAUUAUUAAUUAGACAUUAAUUAACUUAUCCAGGCCCUAAUCAACUCUCGAUGGCAUCGGAUUUCUCCAAUAUUAAAUAGAUUAGAACAGUUCAGCCAUAUUUUGAUUUAAGCUAAAAAUGGAGGAGUGAGACUACUUCGAACAACCAGUACGAUGGUUGAAAUUAUUGCACACGUCUUGUCAAACCUUCAAAGGCCUUCAAAGGCUAAUAUCUUCGCUUGCAAUAGAGUAAUUUGAAUGAAAUUUUCGAAUUAUUCAUUUUACAUUAUUUAUCUUCGAACUAUUAUAGCAAGAAUGGCUAGCUCUUUAUCAAAAUCUUACAUAAUGUAUAUUUAAGAAUAAUUUAAUACAUUUAUAAAGCUCACACAUUACAAGUUGUGCACCUGUAUAAAAUUUGUAUAAAUUUUGUUAUCAUCGUUAAUAUUUUAUACUGAGAUGCAAUAAAAAUAAUACAUCACUUUUAUAAAUGGAUGAAUGUAAAUCUUGUUUGAAAUGAAUCCAGGUUUAACGCCCUACUUAGUACUUUUCAGCUCAAUUUUGUUUUAAAGAUUUGCUUUAAUCUUGCAAUUAAGGAUGUAACAACAUAUUACGAUGAUAACAUGUGAGAAUGUUUUGAAGAUUGCGUAAACGCAACCCGAACAAUUCUCAAUCAAAAAAAUUAAACCCAACAGAAUCAGUAUGUUGAUUUUUCUGGUACACACGUGGGGUAUAUAAUGCAGCUUUUAAAAAGCUAGGUUUUGUGCAACUGUGGAAGGUGCAAAGUUAUGCCACGUCAUCUCAGAGGUGCUAUUUCAUUGCGUCUCGAUAUAUUUUGUUUACUAUUAUCAACCUGGCCCCAAGUUCACAAAGCAUUCCCAGACUUAAGAAUUUGCUCAACUUUCAAUCACUGUUUUUGAGAAAUAUCUUUGAUCCAGAAACACAAAACUUUGCACAUAGUUUCUUAUUGAUAUAUUUACAUUAAAACAACAAUAGUUAGUAAAGUGCUAUAUUUAAGUUAAAAUAAGACAAACAAUUUUGAGUAAAACCUUAACUUAAGACUGAGAAUGCUUUGUGAACUUGGGGCCUUGUUUUCUUUUCAUUACUUAUUAUCUACAAUACAGUAAUAACAAGAAAUAAAAAAUCUGUAGAACACUGCUGAUUAAGUUCUAGAUUUAAUCCUAGAUUCAAUCACAUUUAUAUUUUUAUACUUCCAAUAUCGAUAUUAAUUCCAAUAGAGCCAGGUGAUGUUUAGUUUAAUUAUACACUUUCUAUUUUGUUGUAUGAAAUUAUCUGUAUAAUCUGUGUUUUUGUUACUUUCAUUGUGUGAAAUGCUUGCAGCAAAGUGCUGUAAAUAAAAUACCUGACAUCACUGAUCACAGUUUAACUCUAUAACUUCUCAUUUGACCUCAAAUCUAUGUGGAGUGGAGUCAGUUGGAAGAAAUAAAUCAAAAUGGAGUGAAAUCUACAUUUUAAUCAAAUUCGUACCACAUGAUUAUAUUCUACCACUUUUUGCUCGUUUAUAUGGCAACUAUAUAUUAUUGCUAAGCUAUUUUUGAAUUGUAAAUUACAUUUACAAGUAUGUAAAUAUUGAUUCUUUGAAUUAUAUAUUGUCAAUCAAAAUCUGAAUAUGCAAUGUGCUAUGUAGCCAUAUAUGUGAAAUAAACUAUUAUUAUUGCUA